UACGUAGGUGGCAAGCGUUAUCCGGAAUUAUUGGGCGUAAAGGGUGAGUAGGCGGUUAAUUAAGUCUGAAGUUAAAGGCAGUGGCUCAACCAUUGUAUGCUUUGGAAACUGAAUAACUAGAGUAUGAUAGAGGUCGGUGGAAUUCCACAUGUAGCGGUGAAAUGCGUAGAUAUGUGGAGGAACACCAGUGGCGAAGGCGGCCGACUG
rnacentral:rRNA from 1 species